UCCGCUGGUCGUAGGAACAGACACGACCACGGGCUCUCCUCUCUCCCUCUCCUCUGGAUCCGAGCCGCCAGGAGGCGCACGACCUGCGCGACGCUCGAUCCGGUGCCGCGCCGGCCGCCGACCGAUGGCCGACGCCGGUGAUCGGAGCACACUGCACCACCGGUCUGCCUCAGCUCCCCCUUUCCUUUGCGCGCCCGAGCUCCUCGCUGUACGCCGCCCGGGAGGGCUCGCGCUCGCCGCUCGACCAAAGCCACCGCCGGCCGGUCCGGUGCCGCGCCGGCCGCCGGCAGAUGACCGACGGAGGUGUUCGAAGCAUCCUGCACCACCGUGAAGUAGCUACUGAGCAGUGCGGCCAUCGAGCGACACCAGACCGCGGGACAGCGUGAGAAGAGGCAGGGGGUGUCUGGCGGGAUGGGGAAGACCACGAGGAAGUGUGGCGAUGGAGUGCAAUCCCGAGGAAGAAGAACAUUGCAAAGAAAGACCCUAGCCAAGCGCCACCCAAUUCUCUUUCAUUGACCUAUCUAAUGGCCAUCAAUUCAAUUGGUCCAAGCUGCUGCGUUUGACCUUCCCACUGACCCACUACAUCCUCGCUCAGCUGCUUCUGCUAUGUUUCUUCUCCAUGGCAUUGUCGGCUGCCAGUGUGCCUGACAUCAUGCCUAUGUGACCUCAUAUCAUGCUCCUCUACGUGUUCUUCUCACCCUGGUUCCAUGAGGAGAGAUGUUGUUCUGUGGUUCUGUAGCUCUACUCCAUAGCAAUGAUGGAGUCGCCUCCAGAUGGGAUAGCAAUUAUCUCGGGAUCAUGAAUAGCUUUGGUGCCCUCUCUCGCUCAUGGUGAGGCCGUGCACGCUUGCCAUGGUUGUGGCUACGAAAUCUCAGACUGAGUCGCUUCGGUCGGGCACUAUUCAGGUACAACUCACUUUGCUCCACCAUUGUUGGUUGCUGUGCAUCACAUGCUUGAUGAAAUUCAGAGAUGGUGUUGAUCUUGCUCUUGCUAGACCAUCCUUGUUAUAAAUCAUUAUUGGGUUCUAGCUAGGGUCUUAGGAAUUGAUAAUUUCCAGAUUGUAUCGCUGAAAAUGUAGUUCUUAUAAGAUUCUCAUUGUCAAGUUGUUAUGGUAGCAUGAGUGAAAAUAUGUUCCUUUUAAAUGCUUAGAUUCUAUAGAAACCUCUAAUCUAUAUCCUAAAUUACUGUAUUGUGUGCUCUUGUAAAAUAAACUGUAUAUAUUGAUUCAAUUUAUAUAUGUAGUACAAUGAUUUUGCUCACAUCACAAAUAUCUAACAACAAGAGUGGUACUGAGUUCACUUGCAACCAAAACAUUUAAAUUCCAGUUCAACAUUGCAUAUUCCUAUCUAAUAAACGGUCAGAUGUUUCAGAUUAAUGUGGGAAUUUCUAGCAUAUUCCUCUUUUACGGUGACGCCAGAUUUGAAUUUGAAGGCGUACUUGCCCCUGAGCUGGCGGUGCCUGAGAACAACGACGACAAAAUUCUGGCAUCGUCUCCGAGCUCUGUCGCAAGCAACGCAGGAACGCCUCAGGCUCAAAGUCGGGUUGCUGUGCAGGCGAGCGGCAGCAGCCACUUAUGUCUCUUCCAAGAAGGGCGCCACCUUGGAGGAGCAUAACGACACCGGCUGCAGCGGCGCACGAGCCAACAAAGGGACAGGACCAUUGGAGACGACGGACACAGAGGUGCAUGCUAGGCAUGCCGAUCAUCAGACACUAGGGAGCGAUCCCACCCGUGAUGCCACAGUACACGCAGCCGUCGCCGCCGCCGCCACAUGCCAUGAUCUACGGGCAAGUGCCUGCUCAGCAGCGUACAAGAGAGAUCACCGCGGGGCCCUACUCGCCAAGACGAUGCUUCUCUUAUCGUGCUUAUUUACUUGCCUUCUAUGUGUGACGAGAAGGAGCGGGAGAUUCAGAGGCUCAGGUUGGCAUCACUAGGUGAGUUCCCUGCUGAUUUGUCGAGCACGGGAUAUAGACUAUAGUCGGGUUCCUUCCUAACUCUGCUGGGCCUAAUGAAGAGAAAGAAUCAACUUUUGAGAUUAA